GUAAUUUUCCACUACUUGCCCUAAUCCUAUAAAACUGCCCCACUCCUAUCUCCCUUUGCUGACUCCUUUUUCGGACUCAGUCUGCCUGCACCCAUGUGAUUAAAAAGCUUUAUUGCUCACACAAAGCCUGUUUGGUUAUCUCUUCACACAGACAUGCGUGACAUUUGGUGCUGAAGACCCGGGAUGGGGGACUCCUUCGGGAGACUGGUCCCCUGUCCUCACCCUCACUCCAUGAGGAGAUCCACCUACAACCUCGGGUCCUCAGUCCAACCAGCCUAAGGAACAUCUCACCAAUUUCAAAUCAGGAUGCAAAGUUGGAAUAAGAGCAAUGACCACCUCUCCUGAGAGACCUGUUUGUUCCCACAUCUGUACUCUUCAGUCAACAGAACCUGAUGCAAAGAACAGAAAAGGGGAAGAUGUGGGGGAUUCAGUCAGGAUGGUGGGAGAAAUUGUAAAAUUAUAGGAAAUAAUCACAAACACUUGUGGAAGGCCUGGGGGUUUGCAUAAAAUGUUGGGCUGAAGGCAGCUGAAUUCUCUUAAAAGCUUAGGGCAUAGAUACACAGAAAUGUAGUUUAUCUAAAUGACUUGUUUACUUAUGUGGUCCUAAAACUAACCUUUGAUAGUUUAUGGGCAGGAUAGCUCUCUCAGGGUAGGGGGAGGGCAACCAGAUUGAUUACCCACUGAUGGUGUUGACUCAAAGCCUUCGUCAUUUAAUAUGUGCUGAAUAAAUGCCAGCAGGGCCAGUGAGUCAGGGCCACAGCUGCAACUCUUUACAGCACUCUCCUUUGAGUCUGUAAGUGGCCUAGACCCUCAGCCGGUCUGACAAGCAUAAUAUCUGUGUUAGUGUACAUUAUUCAUCCAUCGUUGGGUCAGGGUCUGCAGGACAGACCCCUAGAAAAAUAAAAUAAAAUUAAAAAUAGCCGGGUGUGGUUACACACACCUGUAAUCCCACCUACCUGGGAGGCUGAGAUAGAAUCGCUUGAACACAGGAGGCAGAAUUUGCAGUGAGCCGAGAUCAUGCCACUGCA
rnacentral:lncRNA from 1 species